AGAGUUUGAUCCUGGCUCAGAACGAACGCUGGCGGCGUGGAUAAGACAUGCAAGUCGAACGAGAUUUUUUCCUGUAGCAAUACAGGGAAAAGUCUAGUGGCGAACGGGUGCGUAACACGUGGGCAAUCUGCCUUAAAGUGGGGGAUAGCUCGGCGAAAGCCGAAUUAAUACCGCAUGUGAUCAGAAGGGACAUCCCUUCGAAAUCAAAGUCGGGGCAACCUGACGCUUUUUGAGGAGCCCGCGGCCUAUCAGCUAGUUGGUGAGGUAAUGGCUCACCAAGGCUCUGACGGGUAGCUGGUCUGAGAGGACGACCAGUCACACUGGAACUGAGACACGGUCCAGACACCUACGGGUGGCAGCAGUCGAGAAUUUUUCUCAAUGGGGGAAACCCUGAAGGAGCGACGCCGCGUGGAGGAUGAAGGUCUUCGGGUUGUAAACUCCUGUCAUUUGGGAACAAGUUGGACGCCGUAACUGCGCGUCCAUUGAUAGUACCAGAAGAGGAAGGGACGGCUAACUCUGUGCCAGCAGCCGCGGUAAUACAGAGGUCUCAAGCGUUGUUCGGAUUCAUUGGGCGUAAAGGGUGUGUAGGUGGCGCGCUAAGUCGGGUGUGAAAUUUCGGAGCUUAACUCCGAAACUGCAUUCGAUACUGGCGUGCUUGAGGACUGGAGAGGAGACUGGAAUUCAUGGUGUAGCAGUGAAAUGCGUAGAGAUCAUGAGGAAGACCAGUGGCGAAGGCGGGUCUCUGGACAGUUCCUGACACUGAGACACGAAGGCCAGGGGAGCAAACGGGAUUAGAUACCCCCGUAGUCC
rnacentral:rRNA from 1 species